CCUACGGGGGGCAGCAGUGAGGAAUAUUGGUCAAUGGACGCAAGUCUGAACCAGCCAAGCCGCGUGAAGGAAGACGGCCCUAUGAGUUGUAAACUGCUUUUGUACGAGGAUAAACGCAGAUACGCGUAUCUGUCUGAAAGUAUCGUACGAAUAAGGAUCGGCUAACUCCGUGCCAGCAGCCGCGGUAAUACGGAGGAUUCAAGCGUUAUCCGGAUUUAUUGGGUUUAAAGGGUGCGUAGGCGGUCGGAUAAGUUAGAGGUGAAAUCCCGAGGCUCAACUUCGGAAUUGCCUCUGAUACUGGUAGGCUAGAGAGUAGUUGCGGUAGGCGGAAUGUGUGGUGUAGCGGUGAAAUGCUUAGAGAUCAUGCAGAACUCCGAUUGCGAAGGCAGCUUACCAAGCUACUUCUGACGUUGAGGCACGAAAGCGUGGGUAGCAAACAGGAUUAGAUACCCUUGUAGUC
rnacentral:rRNA from 1 species